UGGCUUAAUCUUUGAGACAAGCAUAUGACUACUGGCAGGAUCAACCAGGUAGCAUUCCUCUUCGACGUAGCCCACCAUGCAAGGACAAGCCGAGACAUGGUAGACAAUCGUUUUGGAGAAGCGAGAACGCUUAACGAGGGCAGAUUCAGGAUCUUAGAAGACCCAUGCCCACAUCAGGUUCCGUAUACAAGAGACCAAGCGAUGCUUCAUAGGCCACAUCAUCAUUGCAAAUGCAACAACAAGGUGGAUCACAAAGACCGCUUCAACGUUCAUCUCACGCCGCAUGAGCGACGCAUGACGAAAAGGGACAUCAUAAAACCCACACGUUACCAUCGGUUAGGUAUGCAACACAGAUAACCCACAAUAUGCUCAAGACGUUCGAAGCCUUGUCGCUAAACUGAAGAGGUAUGCACGCGUGGACGUUGCUGCGCGAGCAGACAGCCAACCACCCGUAACAAACCAAACACCACUCAUGCACCUUUACGGUCGACAUUCCCGAAAACCACCCAACUAGUAGCAACCCACCCGGCGAAAAGCCAAGCAAGCAACCAAAAGCCAAAACAGUCCCCAGAAUGCACC
rnacentral:misc_RNA from 1 species